CAGUCAUGUGGAGCUGAUAUAAACAACACGUUCAUCCCAGGAAGUAUUUAAAGGGGUUUUUCCACUUCUUUCGUAGCAGCAGCAGAUCACAGAGCUCUUUUCAGCUCAUCACAAGAUAAUACAAAAGCAGAAUGGAAAGAGAAAUGAAUGAACGAAUGAAUGGAGGAACAGGAUAUGGAGCAGCAGAAUGUGCAGGAUUAUUAAACAUAUGGAGAAGAGAGAAAGAGAAAAAUGGCAAAUAAAAAGUUACAAUCUAAAGAACCAAAGACACUGUUAAUUAGACAGAACAGCAUUAAUAGUGGCAAACCAAACUUUUCUGACAUAUCAGAGUUUGAGAAGAGUCACAGACGAGAAAGCAGCAGCUCUGUUCAUCUGACCAGCAGAAUAUCCUCCAUGUUCAGCCUUGAUUAAACAAUGUGUAUUUUAUAUUUUAGCAUUAUCUGAACCAGAGCAAGGUUACAGUAUUAUAGCCUACUACAUAAUUUAUAAAUGUAAAGUCUAUUUAUACAAUUUCUUCUUGUAUACCUUUAGUAUAUAAGCUGAAUGUGUAUUUGAGGACCACAAUGGAAAUAAGUGUGUAACUUUCUUGUGUUCCUUGACAGUUCUGAUUAAUGUAUAAUUGUCACUGUGAUGGCAUCUUGUUAUGCAUUUAUUUCUGUUACUUUCUAACAAAUUAAAUCAAUCAAUCAUAAAUGUAUACA